rnacentral:rRNA from 1 species
AGGCCUAUCACAUGCAAGUCGAGCGGUAACAUUUCAAAAGCUUGCUUUUGAAGAUGACGAGCGGCGGACGGGUGAGUAAUGCCUGGGAAUUUGCCCAUUUGUGGGGGAUAACAGUUGGAAACGACUGCUAAUACCGCAUACGCCCUACGGGGGAAAGCAGGGGACCUUCGGGCCUUGCGCUGAUGGAUAAGCCCAGGUGGGAUUAGCUAGUAGGUGAGGUAAAGGCUCACCUAGGCGACGAUCCCUAGCUGGUCUGAGAGGAUGAUCAGCCACACUGGGACUGAGACACGGCCCAGACUCCUACGGGAGGCAGCAGUGGGGAAUAUUGCACAAUGGGGGAAACCCUGAUGCAGCCAUGCCGCGUGUGUGAAGAAGGCCUUCGGGUUGUAAAGCACUUUCAGCGAGGAGGAAAGGGUGUAAGUUAAUACCUUACAUCUGUGACGUUACUCGCAGAAGAAGCACCGGCUAACUCCGUGCCAGCAGCCGCGGUAAUACGGAGGGUGCGAGCGUUAAUCGGAAUUACUGGGCGUAAAGCGUGCGCAGGCGGUUUGUUAAGCGAGAUGUGAAAGCCCCGGGCUCAACCUGGGAACCGCAUUUCGAACUGGCAAACUAGAGUCUUGUAGAGGGGGG